rnacentral:lncRNA from 1 species
GGACUACAAUGAGUUACGUUUUCAAACCGGGCCUCAUGCAGAUGGCAUGCCCACGUUCAACCCUCUAUGGUAUUUUGCUUCAUUUAAGGAAAUUAUUUAUCAAGCCAUAGCCAGACUGUUGUGGGUAUGUCUCUCUGUAAGUCUCAUUUUGAAAGUCACUAGUUAUUAGAGAAGUACAAAUUGUAAUCACAAUGGAUUAUCCUCUCCAUUUUCUAAACUGGCUAAAACUAUAC